CCACUGUACUCAUUGCGAAGACGCUUGUACUCACCAAACAUGUGCAUAACGACAAAACCUGUGACACCAAUAUCACCAGCCGGUACAUCAGUUUGAGGACCGAUAUAGCGGAAAAGCUGACGCAUGAAAGCUUGCGAGAAGCGACGAAUCUCGUUGUCGGAUUUGCCCUUGGGGUCGAAGUCAGAACCACCUUUGCCACCACCCAUGGGAAGGCCCGUCAAGGCAUUCUUGAAAAUUUGUUCAAAGCCCAAGAACUUGAGGAUGCUCAAGUUGACGGAAGGAUGGAAACGCAAUCCACCCUUGUAGGGGCCCAAAGCCGAGUUGAAUUGGACACGGUAGCCGGUGUUAACACGGCAGUUACCUUUAUCGUCCUCCCAUGUGACGCGGAAUUCUAAGACACGUUCGGGAAUGGAAAUGAUUGGAAGCACACGCUUCAACUCGGGAUGAACUUCAAAGAGCUUGGAGCUCUCGAUGGAGCCCACAAUCUCCUUGUAGGCUUGUUGAAAUUCAGGUUCGUAUGGGGUACUCAUGGUGGGCCAAAAAAGUAAACAAAAUCGAAGGUAGUGAUAUAGAGUGUAUAUCUAUAUAAUAAUGAUAAGUUUAGAGAAUUCGAGAUAUCAAAAAAAGGCGACCUCGAAAACUUUUAACAAUACAAAUACAGGCUGUACAAUCCAAAGUUCUAUACAAAUCCGUAUUCGACGCCUUCAACGCAAAGACUUUCAAAAUUUAACUACAAUCCAACAAAACUCUUACAACGUGAGUAUGUAAGAGAUAUCGAUCCGGGUUCAAAACGCUUACCAGAUGUACCAGUGCAGUGUAGCAGGAGGAUUCAGGGACGUGCUGGCCAUGUCUGCUAUAUUUAUACACUUAACAAGCAAUAAUCAACAGUCACACCAGAUACCUUGUUUUUUGGGAGACCAUACGUUUGCUAAUGGCUGACGACUUGCAAUAAACCUGAUGGAAGAGCGAUGGCGGAGAUAACAGACGAAUAGGAUGUAAGUAUGAUGUCAAAAUCUCCAAUCACAAUGCUCCUAUAUAUCUCUUUUCUCUAUAAUUGGAUAGUGGAAAAGAAGAUUACUUAAGCGGAAAAUUUCCGAUCUGAUAAGCCAACCCCCUCACAGAAUUCCUUCGUCUCCUGCUCAACCAAA